AGGACGAACGCUGGCGGCGUGCCUAACACAUGCAAGUGGAGCGACGACCCGGGCUUCGGCCCGGUGCAAAGCCGCGAACGGGUGAGUAACACGUGGGUAACCUGCCCUGAUGAUUGGGACAACCCGAGGAAACUCGGGCUAAUACCGAAUGUGCCCUCUGGCCGUAAGGCCUCUGGGGAAAGGAAGCUUCGGCCUCCGCAUUGGGAUGGGCCCGCGGCCCAUUAGCUUGUUGGUGAGGUAACGGCUCACCAAGGCAACGAUGGGUAGCUGGUCUGAGAGGACGAUCAGCCACACUGGGACUGAGACACGGCCCAGACUCCUACGGGAGGCAGCAGUGGGGAAUCUUGCGCAAUGCGCGAAAGCGUGACGCAGCAACGCCGCGUGGGGGAAGAAGGCCUUCGGGUUGUAAACCCCUUUCAGUUGGGACGAAGCUUCGGCGGUGAUAGCCGCCUGGAGUGACGGUACCUUCAGAAGAAGCCCGGCUAACACGUGCCAGCAGCCGCGGUA
rnacentral:rRNA from 1 species